rnacentral:rRNA from 1 species
UUUAAACCCAAUUAUAUCUCUAACCACUAUAACCAUUUAACCACUUAGAACUUAUAUACUUGGUUUUAGGUUGGGGCGACCACGGAGCACAACCAAACCUCCACGAUGAACGGAACAACCCCCUUAUCUGAGAAUUACACUUCUAAGAAUUAGCACACUAACAUAAAAUGACCCAUUAUUGAUCAACGAACCAAGUUACCCUGGGGAUAACAGCGCAAUCCAUUUUAAGAGCCCCUAUCGACAAAU